ensembl:lncRNA
AUUUUCAUGUAUUUUACAUUGGUAUAUUUCUAUUCAUUUACAGGGUGCUCAGGAGGUGGACGUGGUAAUGUGGAGGGAGGCAGCCAUCCUACCAUUGAAGCUCAAUGUGAAAGUCACAUUAACCCAUCUCAAAGGUUCGACGGGAACCUAUGGCUUCAGGCUUCAUACAAGUAACCAUACUAGUAUGAAGGGAGAAGAAGUGUCCAAGUCGGAGGUGAUUGUCAUUGCCUCUCGUAGCAGCAAGACGGACGGAAUGUCAAUUUUAACGCUCAAGGAUGAAACUGAAAUCACAAUCCCUGAAAAAAUGUGGAAUCCGUUUGAUGAUCUUCUGGACCGGAGCCCAGUAACAGUCGUUAUUGUCACAAAGGAAGGGGAAAUCAUCGACGCUACUGUUAUGGAUGAAGAUCAGGAGGAAUAAAACCACACACACACACACACACACACACACACACACACACACACACACACACACACACACACACACACACAGUUAUUGUUAAUAAGUUAUUUGUUGAUGUUGUUAUAGUGCAUUCAAUUUGAAAACAUGUUAAUGUAUUUGAAAUAAAUGUCCUGUGUGACACA